UCUGCUCUCAGGAAUCCCCUUUGUUUCCAAAUGUUUUAAAAAAUUGAUUUGGUGUCAAUAACUGCAUGUAUUUUCAUUACUAUAAUCAUUUUUUCCCAUGUACAUAUUGAUGGAUGAAAUAAUAUAAACAAGAGCAGUAACAGACGUCAAUGUCGUCAUA